rnacentral:rRNA from 1 species
GAGGAAAAGAAACUAACAAGGAUUCCCCUAGUAACUGCGAGUGAAGAGGGAAGAGCUCAAAUUUCGAAUCUGGCGGUCUUUGGCCGUCCGAGUUGUAAUCUAGAGAAGCGUCGUCCGCGCUGGACCGUGUAUAAGUCUCCUGGAAGGGAGCGUCGUAGAGGGUGAGAAUCCCGUCUUUGACACGGACUACCAGUGCUAUGUGAUGCGCUCUCGACGAGUCGAGUUGUUUGGGAAUGCAGCUCAAAAUGGGUGGUAAAUUCCAUCUAAAGCUAAAUACAGGCGAGAGACCGAUAGCGAACAAGUACCGUGAGGGAAAGAUGAAAAGAACUUUGGAAAGAGAGUUAAACAGUACGUGAAAUUGCUGAAAGGGAAACGCUUGAUGUCAGUCGCGUCGGCCGGGGAUCAACCUUGCUUCUCUGCUGGGUGUACUUCCUGGUCGACGGGUCAGCAUCAGCUUCGGUCGCCGUACAAGGGCGAGGGGAACGUGGCACUCUUCGGAGUGUGUUAUAGCCUUUCGUCGUAUGCGGCGGUCGGGACUGAGGAACUCAGCACGGCUUCGGUUUGUGCUUAGGAUGCUGGCAUAAUGGCCUUAAGCGACCCGUCUUGAAACACGGACCAAGGAGUCUAACAUGCCUGCGAGUGUUUGGGUGGCAAACCCGAGCGCGCAAUGAAAGUGAAAGUUGAGACCUCUGUC